AAAUUGAAGAGUUUGAUCAUGGCUCAGAUUGAACGCUGGCGGCAGGCCUAACACAUGCAAGUCGAACGGUAACAGGAAGCAGCUUGCUGCUUCGCUGACGAGUGGCGGACGGGUGAGUAAUGUCUGGGAAACUGCCUGAUGGAGGGGGAUAACUACUGGAAACGGUGGCUAAUACCGCAUAACGUCGCAAGACCAAAGAGGGGGACCUUCGGGCCUCUUGCCAUCAGAUGCAGAUGUGCC
rnacentral:rRNA from 1 species